GGACGGGUGAGUAACACGUGGGUAACCUGCCUGUAAGACUGGGAUAACUCCGGGAAACCGGAGCUAAUACCGGAUAGUUCCUUGAACCGCAUGGUUCAAGGAUGAAAGACGGUUUCGGCUGUCACUUACAGAUGGACCCGCGGCGCAUUAGCUAGUUGGUGGGGUAAUGGCUCACCAAGGCGACGAUGCGUAGCCGACCUGAGAGGGUGAUCGGCCACACUGGGACUGAGACACGGCCCAGACUCCUACGGGAGGCAGCAGUAGGGAAUCUUCCGCAAUGGACGAAAGUCUGACGGAGCAACGCCGCGUGAGUGAUGAAGGUUUUCGGAUCGUAAAGCUCUGUUGUUAGGGAAGAACAAGUGCGAGAGUAACUGCUCGCACCUUGACGGUACCUAACCAGAAAGCCACGGCUAACUACGUGCCAGCAGCCGCGGUAAUACGUAGGUGGCAAGCGUUGUCCGGAAUUAUUGGGCGUAAAGGGCUCGCAGGCGGUUUCUUAAGUCUGAUGUGAAAGCCCCCGGCUCAACCGGGG
rnacentral:rRNA from 1 species